ensembl:lncRNA
CAGCCAGCAUAAUAGCUCAGAAGGGGGCUAAUGUUCCUGCUACAUUCACAGAACAUUUUUGUAAUGGCUAAAUUAAAAGAAAAACAUAUAUAGAUUUAUUCUGGGCUCAGUUUUCCUUUUAAUUCAUUGUUUCAUUUCGCAUUCUUGUUUCAAAUUCCUAUUCAUGCCUUCCCCAUUUGCCCCUUUUCUUUCAGCAAGAUUCCACGUAAAUGGACUGAUGCUUAUUAAAAGCAAAGAGCCCACGGUUGGAGAAAGAAAGUGGAAAUCAAAUGGUGGGAAGAGAAGAUAUGUGAGGUCUACUACUUCCUCUCCCUCUUCUUCUCCCUGUCCCUCUUCCUCCGUGGGUUCCCCCUCUCAUCCUCAAACUACCGCACCUGCUGACAGACACAGACACAGACACCGGACUGAGACUGAAAUCUCGUGCGCAUUCUCUUAUCCUGGUGACGGCCAGAUCAUUGUGAUAUCCGCCAAAACCGGAGCCCCAGUCGUCUUGCAUGUGAGCCGAGAUUUCUGCGUACCCGGCAUCAGAGAGAAAACCAUGGAUGAAAAGUCAUGGGGGGGGGAACACUCCGCCAGGGUGUGACUCCUACUCGGCUGCUUGUUUGCGCGGCUUGUCCUCUCAGCAUCCACGAUGCAAACCUCCCGCAAAGCAUCCUGUAUCCUGCUCUCCACACUCAUCUUUAGGGUAUCUCCC